rnacentral:rRNA from 1 species
GACGAACGCUGGCGGCGUGCUUAACACAUGCAAGUCGAACGGAAAGGCCCUGCUUUUGUGGGGUGCUCGAGUGGCGAACGGGUGAGUAACACGUGAGUAACCUGCCCUUGACUUUGGGAUAACUUCAGGAAACUGGGGCUAAUACCGGAUAGGAGCUCCUGCUGCAUGGUGGGGGUUGGAAAGUUUCGGCGGUUGGGGAUGGACUCGCGGCUUAUCCGCUUGUUGGUGGGGUAGUGGCUUACCAAGGCUUUGACGGGUAGCCGGCCUGAGAGGGUGACCGGCCACAUUGGGACUGAGAUACGGCCCAGACUCCUACGGGCGGCAGCAGUGGGGAAUAUUGCACAAUGGGCGGAAGCCUGAUGCAGCAACGCCGCGUGCGGGAUGACGGCCUUCGGGUUGUAAACCGCUUUCGCCUGUGACGAAGCGUGAGUGACGGUAAUGGGUAAAGAAGCACCGGCUAACUACGUG